rnacentral:lncRNA from 1 species
UAAAAUAUGUUAUGUUUUAAACUUGUUGUCUCUUAUAGCAAUGACCUUUAAAAAGCGAGUUUUAAAAACUAAUCAGAAAAUCACUGAAAUGUUCGUUUUAUGAAACCCUUUUGGACUAUUUCUGAAAGUAAAAUUUAACCCUUUGUGAAAUGUAUGAGAAAAAGUCUCUGGAAAAGUGACAACUUUUUUCAGAACUUUUUUUUUUAUUUUUUUCAAACAUUUUUAGUGUUGAAAAACCACACUUUGCAAUGUAAGAGUUUUCCUCACACUGUUUCACUUUAAAUUCACUUGAAUUUACUUUAAAAAAUACUUUAAAGAGCUCCUUUAACAGACAUUUUGACUGUUUUUAAAGAUUUUCUUUUUAAGUUGACGAAUUCUUUUAAAGUUUUUUUCCACAGUCGUUUCUACCUGUUAGGGAUGUUUUAAAUGUGUAAAUUUUUAAAUAAUAAUGAGGAGCAAGUUUAAAACGGCAUCGUUAAAUUAUUUCUUCUGGAACAAACUGUGUAUCCUACUUGAGAAUGGUAUUAGUGAUGGAAUGAGGUUAAAAUAUAUUUCCAAAUUUUUUCAGACCUUGUAAAUUAGCAAGUAUACAGUGGAAAGUGUGCGAUCCUGUAGAGAAAUCCAAAUUAGUGGAGGAUGCCAAAAAGCACUAUGCAGAAUACAUGGUUGCCAAAGAGUCUUUUGAAGCUUCAAUUUCUCCAGAAAUGAAAGAGAAGAUGAUCUCCUUAAAAGAAGAACGAAAAGAGCGCAGAAGGAAGUUGGCUGCUAAAAAAUUAGGCAAACCUGUAAAACCAUUGACAGUGUGGUCUUCGUUUGUGGCGUCUAAAGCGAGUGAUAGAGGAGAUAAACCCUUUGCAGACUUCAUUAAACAGGUAUCAGAACAAUGGUACCAGGUGGAUCUAAAAACAAAGCAAAAGUUAAGUGAAGCAUACCAUCAAAAAUUGGCUGCGUACAAGGUAGAAUUGGAAAAGUGGGAAGACGAGAUGAUACGCACCGGACAUCCAGAGCUUAUUAGACCUGGAAGACAAAUCCGAUCAAGAACUAAACUUGGAAAGUACAUAACUAAAAAAUCUAGUAAAAAAGAUACGUCUGAUGAGUGAUGUUCUCAGGAAGUAGGUUCAGUGAAGGCAUGUUUGUUUGAGAAAAAUCGUUUAUUUUUCUAUCAUGUAGAUAGUACUACCAUUAAUACCUCUCAGAAUUCUCCUUAAGUUGAAGUAAAUAACCUCGAGUGACUGUCAGUCCACGAUACCUCUCGUAAAUUCGUACGUAAGUGUACCUGAAUUGAUUUCCUUUAACUUCCGCUCAAGACCAAAGACUUCAACCUACUAUCAGUUGGCUUUUGUUUGCUGUGAAUUCUUGGUGGAAUUAAAGUAGUCAACCUUUUAUUGAAGUCACGAAUAAACUUAAAUUUUAGUCAUUGUUUCUGAUCUCCUCUUCAUUGAUACUCACUCUCUACAACUUGGGGCUCAAUCAUCAUUUGUUGAAAAUUCAUUUGGACAGACUUCCAUCUUCUUUUGUCACAUCUAAUCAUUCACACUCAGUAAAAUUUGUUGAGAAGUAACUAUUCUACUUUACCAGCAUCCCUGAAGCAUAGAGAAAAAAAGGAGGUGUUUGCAUCUUGAGGUUUGUUUACCCUGUGACGUAGGUCGGUACAACCUGGCCAGAGAAAUCCGGAAUUCGAAGUAGGAAAAACGGACCAUAAUGUCCCAUUUUUCUGCUUAAAUCAACUCAUGAUAUAAUUUCAAGCACUCUUUAUAGAAAGACUUUUUCUGUUAAAUUACACCAUUUCCAAGAAAAUCGAUGAUAAACGUCGCUGUACCGACCUACGUCAUCAAAAAAAUUCCAAGAUGCCCGAAAUGCAAACACCUCCUUUUUUUUCUCUAUGUCCCUGAAGGAAACAGGAGAAGAUUGUUUUUAAUGAGAGCAGUGCAGAUCAAAAACACGUCUCCUAUUUUCAAUUAACUAAAAUUGAGAAAUUUUGGUUAGCAAAAUAGGUCAAAUAACUUCCUAGUCCAGAGAAAAUUUAUUUCAUCCUUCCUCUUGGAAAAGAGCACCCCUUUCACUUUCUCUUCAUUUUUAGAGGUGGAUAAAUUGAUGCUUUCAAUUUUGAACCCAAGGAGUCUCAUUCAUUAGUUAAACCUAACAGUCCUCCUUUGAGAUUGAUUUCAGAAUGGCCAUUGAGUAAUUUUAAGUUUGUCACUGCCUACUGUGUGUGCCCUGCAGUUCAGUUAUGUUCAGUAUAUUGCAUCUAUCGAUUUUCAGCUUAAUCCUCUCAAAUCCUCCUAUGAAUGACAAAAUUUCAAUAAUCAAUAAACAGGUCAACCAACUUCAAUCUAAAACCAUCGCUUCUUAUUGGUUCCAAAAAGCCUGAAAUUCAGAUAUUGUUACGAAUAGAUUUUUGAAUAACGAUCUCAGAAAUUACACGUUUGCUCAUGUGAGUGGUCAUCAGUAAUUGCUUUGGUGAUGUCUUUCAUCAUGAAUAUCUCAAGCAGCAAAAGUUCCAUGGAGUCACUGAUAAUGGACUUUAUCUACAUGAACGGAUCACUCUGAAACAUCCUGCAUGCACGAUUCCUUUAAGGUCUUGUUUUGAUAGUGUCAUAGUGGAAGGUCCAAUCAUCGUCUCUUCAGCAUGGACUAGAAAGACGAGUUUGAAAAUGAAACGGGAGUAUUUAAUGGAUUAAUAGUUGUCUUGAAUCCAGAGGAAAGAAUAAGUUAGCAAUCCAAAAGUACUAUUAUGUGAGCAAACCUUUUUUAAGCACCGAGAGCAUGCAGAUUUUUUCUUAAAGAACAUUGUAAUCGUUCAGUAGUACUAGCUGUAAAAUUUCCUUCAACCUCUUAAAAGUACCAAUGCUGUAAUUGCGUUUUGAAGAUGUGCCUCAGUGAUUUCCCAACACUUAAUGACCAAGAAAAUUGUUUUCUGAUUUAGUAUAAAAAUUUUGCCUCGAACACUAAAAAUUGAACUUACUUGGAGGAACCACUGAAAAAUAGGAAAAGUAAUAGCAUCAAUUUUUGGUGAGCAUUGAAUUGCUUUGACGCCUCUAGAUUCUACUUCCCAUGACUUUUUAAUUUAUCGAAAAGAGGAAGUUGUCACAUAAAUUUUUACUCACCUGAAAAAAAGUCAAGAUCAACCCGGAUUUUCAACCUUCAUUUUUUUUUUUUGCCUCAGCUUCGGUCACACUAAUGAAGACUACAUGAAGAUCUCAUUUGUACUCUAAAGUCUUUAUCUCUUGCAGAUUGUACGCCUUUUUCUUGUCCUCCCUCGUAGUCAUAUUUCCAGGGUGUCUACCAGUCCCCGAUUUUGGAAGGGUGUCCCUGAUAACCUUGAAAGUCACAAUUUUCUGGUUCAGGUCCCCAAAAAAUGACAUAAAUCGUCCUAAACACCGGAAUUUCCAAAUUUUCCCGCCAGCCGCAGCGGCGCGGUAUAAUCAAGAAUAAAGAAACUGAAGUGUUGCUUUGUUUUUCGUAUGUUUUCAUCGGUUCAACAUGACUUGUAAAAUUAGUGUGUAAAAUGCGCCUUUUAACGCUCUAACUAGCUCCCUCUCUUACUAUUUCGGGGAAAAAAGUCUCCGAUUUUCUUGAAAAAAGUCCCCAAUUUGAUUUUUCAUAACUGGUAGACACCCUGAUUUCUGAUCCCCUUUGAAGAUAAUGCUUUAAUUUUUACCAAUAUUUAAGUUUUAUUUUAAUCACAGAGAGAGAGGAAGUCGGAAAGUUUUAAGGUGUUAUUACUGCUGAGUAGAAUUUCAAAAUCUUUUCAAGCUAAGGAAGACUGUAUUUGAUACAUCGGAAUGUAGUUUCCACUCAUAAAUUCAUUUGAAGUAAAUAGCCUCUCCUUCUG